AAAUGGUGCCUAGAAGGAAGAGUCCUUUUGGCCUACUCCUUUUAAAUAUCCUUAUCUUUCCAUGCCACUAAAAUUCCUAUGCUUUCCUUUAUUCCACAUGCCAUCAAAUGUUUUUUAGGAAUAAAUGGGUGCAGAAGAGGAGUCCUUCUAUCUAAAGGCUAUUGGAAUUUGAUGUCAGAGCAUGCAUGUGUUGAGAUUUGAUGCCUUAAGAUUCAAUCCAUAUUGAGCUCGUAGUGAGGUUCAGGAUGACGAAUGGAGUCUAACGAGCUUAAGAACAGUCCAAACAGAGUUCAGAUGGUGAAGAUACGUACGAAAGC
rnacentral:lncRNA from 1 species